AAAGUCGUAAACAAGGUCUCCGUUGGUGAACCAGCGGAGGGAUCAUUACUGAGUACUACACUCUCUACCCUUUGUGAACUAUUAUACCUGUUGCUUCGGCGGCGCCGCAAGGGUGCCCGCCGGUCUCAUCAGAAUCUCUGUUUUCGAACCCGACGAUACUUCUGAGUGUUCUUAGCGAACUGUCAAAACUUUAACAACGGAUCUCUUGGCUCCAGCAUCGAUGAAGAACGCAGCGAAACGCGAUAUGUAAUGUGAAUUGCAGAAUUCAGUGAAUCAUCGAAUCUUUGAACGCACAUGGCGCCUUCCAGUAUCCUGGGAGGCAUGCCUGUCCGAGCGUCGUUUCAACCCUCGAGCCCUGUGGCCCCGGCGUUGGGGAUCUGCCACGGCAGGCCCCUAAAACCAGUGGCGGACCCGAAGGGCCCUCUCCUUUGCGCAGUAGCAUUCGCCUCGCAUCGGGAGUCCUCGGCGUCCUGCCUCUAAACCCCCCACAAGCCCGCUUCGGCGGCACCAAGGUUGACCUCGGAUCAGGUAGGAAUACCCGCCGAACUUAA
rnacentral:rRNA from 1 species